CGCAUCUCUUUGUUGGUCCAGCGGCAGCUGCGCUCAUGUUGUUGUAGCUAGUUACUCUCUCUCUCCGGAAAUAUUUUUUCUCUUUCGAAAUAUUUCGUCUCUUGUUUCGUUGCGGCCUGUACACAUCCUCGUAUCUAGCGUUUGGUAUCAUACCUUGUCACAAUAUCAAGUUAACCGAGUAAUGGACUCAGACGAGGGGUACAAUUAUGAAUUCGACGAGGAGGAAGAGGAAUGCAGCGAAGACAGCGCUGAGGAGGAUCCCGAAGACGACACCCUGGAAGUGGAGUUGGAUGAUCCUGUUGUGGCCGGUGGAGAGCGAGAUGAAUGUGGGGAGACCGGGGGCAGUGGCCUAGGGCCCGGUCAAGACGAGGAGGACUAUCGGUUCGAGGUUCUGACUGCUGAACAGAUCCUUCAGCAUAUGGUCGAGUGUAUCAGGGAGGUCAAUGAUGUCAUCCAGAACCCUGCAACGAUAACAAGAAUACUUCUUAGUCACUUCAACUGGGACAAAGAGAAACUGAUGGAAAGAUAUUUUGAUGGGAACCUUGACAAAUUGUUCUCGGAAUGCCAUGUCAUCAACCCCAGUAAGAAGUCGAGGACACGGCUGAUGAACACGAGGUCCUCUGCUCAGGAUCUUCCCUGUCAGAUCUGCUACCUGAACUACCCAAACACGUACUUCACUGGCCUGGAGUGUGGACACAAGUUCUGCAUGCAGUGUUGGGGGGACUACUUGACUACCAAAAUCAUCGAGGAGGGGAUGGGACAGACAAUUUCCUGCCCUGCUCACAGCUGUGAUAUAUUGGUGGACGACAACACAGUCAUGAGACUGAUCACAGAGUCCAAGGUGAAGUUGAAGUACCAACACUUGAUUACCAAUAGUUUUGUAGAGUGCAAUCGACUGUUAAAAUGGUGCCCAGCGCCAGACUGCCAUCACGUAGUCAAAGUCCAGUACCCAGAUGCUAAGCCUGUGAGAUGCACAUGUGGCCGGCAGUUUUGCUUCAAUUGUGGUGAGAACUGGCAUGAUCCCGUCAAGUGUAAGUGGUUGAGGAAAUGGAUCAAGAAGUGUGACGAUGACAGUGAGACGUCCAACUGGAUCGCAGCCAAUACAAGGGAGUGCCCCAAAUGCCACGUGACCAUUGAGAAGGACGGCGGCUGCAACCACAUGGUGUGUCGGAACCAGAGCUGCAAGGCAGAGUUCUGCUGGGUCUGCCUGGGGCCCUGGGAACCACACGGCUCUGCCUGGUACAACUGCAACCGCUACAAUGAGGAUGAUGCCAAGGCAGCGAGGGACGCCCAAGAGGUAACACGGUCCAGGGCAGCCCUGCAGAGGUACCUGUUCUACUGCAACCGUUACAUGAACCACAUGCAGUCGCUGCGCUUCGAGCACAAGCUGUACGCCGGGGUCAAGGCCAAGAUGGAGGAGAUGCAGCAUCACAACAUGUCCUGGAUCGAGGUGCAGUUCCUGAAGAAGGCCGUGGACGUGCUGUGUCAGUGUCGCUCCACACUCAUGUUCACCUACGUCUUCGCCUUCUACCUGAAGAAGAACAACCAGUCCAUCAUCUUUGAGGUAACUUUACAGCUAUAGUCCAAACCCAAACCCUUCUACCUGAAGAAGAACAACCAGUCCAUCAUCUUUGAGGUAACUUUACAGCUAUAGUCCAAACCCAAACCCUUCUACCUGAAGAAGAACAACCAGUCCAUCAUCUUUGAGGUAACUUUACAGCUAUAGUCCAAACCCAAACCCUUCUACCUGGAAAAGAACAACCGGUCCAUCAUCUUUGAGGUAACUUUACAGCUAUAGUCCAAACCCAAACCCUUCUACCUGGAAAAGAACAACCGGUCCAUCAUCUUUGAGGUAACUUUACAGCUAUAGUCCAAACCCUUCUACCUGAAGAAGAACAACCAGUCCAUCAUCUUUGAGGUAACUUUACAGCUAUAGUCCAAACCCAAACCCUUCUACCUGAAGAAGAACAACCAGUCCAUCAUCUUUGAGGUAACUUUACAGCUAUAGUCCAAACCCAAACCCUUCUACCUGAAGAAGAACAACCAGUCCAUCAUCUUUGAGGUAACUUUACAGCUAUAGUCCAAACCCAAACCCUUCUACCUGAAGAAGAACAACCAGUCCAUCAUCUUUGAGGUAACUUUACAGCUAUAGUCCAAACCCAAACCCUUCUACCUGAAGAAGAACAACCAGUCCAUCAUCUUUGAGGUAACUUUACAGCUAUAGUCCAAACCCAAACCCUUCUACCUGAAGAAGAACAACCAGUCCAUCAUCUUUGAGGUAACUUUACAGCUAUAGUCCAAACCCAAACCCUUCUACCUGAAGAAGAACAACCAGUCCAUCAUCUUUGAGGUAACUUUACAGCUAUAGUCCAAACCCAAACCCUUCUACCUGAAGAAGAACAACCAGUCCAUCAUCUUUGAGGUAACUUUACAGCUAUAGUCCAAACCCAAACCCUUCUACCUGAAGAAGAACAACCAGUCCAUCAUCUUUGAGGUAACUUUACAGCUAUAGUCCAAACCCAAACCCUUCUACCUGAAGAAGAACAACCAGUCCAUCAUCUUUGAGGUAACUUUACAGCUAUAGUCCAAACCCAAACCCUUCUACCUGAAGAAGAACAACCAGUCCAUCAUCUUUGAGGUAACUUUACAGCUAUAGUCCAAACCCAAACCCUUCUACCUGAAGAAGAACAACCAGUCCAUCAUCUUUGAGGUAACUUUACAGCUAUAGUCCAAACCCAAACCCUUCUACCUGAAGAAGAACAACCAGUCCAUCAUCUUUGAGGUAACUUUACAGCUAUAGUCCAAACCCAAACCCUUCUACCUGAAGAAGAACAACCAGUCCAUCAUCUUUGAGGUAACUUUACAGCUAUAGUCCAAACCCAAACCCUUCUACCUGAAGAAGAACAACCAGUCCAUCAUCUUUGAGGUAACUUUACAGCUAUAGUCCAAACCCAAACCCUUCUACCUGAAGAAGAACAACCAGUCCAUCAUCUUUGAGGUAACUUUACAGCUAUAGUCCAAACCCAAACCCUUCUACCUGAAGAAGAACAACCAGUCCAUCAUCUUUGAGAACAAUCAGGCUGACUUGGAGAACGCUACAGAGGUUCUGUCUGGUUAUCUGGAGCGGGACAUCUCCCAGGACUCUCUGCAGGACAUCAAACAGAAAGUACAGGACAAGUACAGAUACUGUGAGAGUCGGCGGCGGGUGCUGCUGCAGCAUGUGCAUGAGGGCUAUGAGAAGGACCUCUGGGAAUACAUAGAAGAUUAAGGAUAGACUCUUUACUAAAAAACCCUCUCCAGACUAGAGCGCUGAUGCAAUGCCACGGGGCAGCACUGGUUUUCACCUAUUGUUGCUGAUCUUCCCAAUAUUGCGUUUUUUUUUUUUCUUGGGUUUUGUUUAAUGGAAAAGUUUAAAUAAAUUAUAUCAAAAUAAAAAAAAAAGGUAGAAUAUUUCAAACGUUAAUCGUACAACAGUAUUGUUUGUAGCAGAUUGGAUUGUGAGGACAUAAAAUAACUCCCCGCUUCUCUCAAUUGGUCACUAUUGUAACAUCAUCACCCCCCCACUCUGUUCAGUUUUCCAGUGAGAUGUAUUUUAUUUGUUUAAUUUUUAAGUACCCUUGUGUGGGACAUGGGUUUGUGUUCAACACAGUCCAACUGUUCAAGCCAUGUUCAUUAAAUGUGGUUAGAUCACAUGUAGGGUUUUUGAAUGUUGAUUUGCUGAUUGUAAGGUGCUUAACCAUGUGGGUUGGCAGGAAAAACCAUAGGGAGUGCAGAAAAAGGAAACAUGUUUUUCUAUUUGUAAAUAACGCAUAUGCAUGGAACAGCAAGUGUGGCCGUUUCUUUUAUUUGUCUUUUUAUUUUAUUUUUGAAAAAUAUUUAUUCAUAUUUUUUUUCAAAUAUUCAAUAUAGUUGCUGUGUAGAAGACAAGUUGCCUCCUGCUUUAAAAGAAAAUGUAUUCUUUGUGAGGGUUUGGAAUUUGUGUAGCUUCACCCAGGAGAACGAGGACAGAAACAGUUUGAACGAGCGAUAAAACUCUGACAGGGUUGUAGUAGCUUUCAAAAGCAAUUCUGACAAAACAAAAUCCACCUAAAGGACAACAUUAGGUGAGAGAAUGAGACUAAAGAACAAACCUUUUUUUUCAUUUUUACAGCCAGCCAGACUGUAGUUCAGGUAAUACAUAGAUUUAUUCAUAGUUGGAAUUGACCUUGCAACCUUCAGAGGUUAUCAACUAAUUGUACCUGAGGGGGUUUUGAGAAAUUAGAGAAUGACUUGGAAAGGACUCCGCUGUGUCCUAAGUGGCUCCCUAUUCUCUAUAUAGUGCACUAUGGGCCCCUGGUCAAAAGUAAUGCAUUAUAUAGGGAAUAGAGUGCCAUUUGGGAUGAAGGUCAUGUCCUGUUUGUUCUAACCCCCCUCCUUCCCACUCCCUCUUGUUUUUGUUCUUCCAUCACCACCCCUCCUGUUUCUCCUUAGAAGUUGUCAUUUCCAGAUAACACACUACCAACUGUUUCAUGAGAGCCAAAUUGAGUGACAUUCACUCAUAAAAAAAUAAAAUAAACAAAUGUAUUUCUUUUUUCAGACUUGAGCUUUUCCUCAUGGUUUUUUGUAUGCACCUUGGUCACCUGGGAGGCGGUAGGGCACCUUGGUCACCUGGGAGGCGGUAGGGCACCUUGGUCACCUGGGAGGCGGUAGGGCACCUUGGUCACCUGGGAGGCGGUAGGGCACCUUGGUCACCUGGGAGGCGGUAGGGCACCUUGGUCACCUGGGAGGCGGUAGGGCACCUUGGUCACCUGGGAGGCGGUAGGGCACCUUGGUCACCUGGGAGGCGGUAGGGCACCUUGGUCACCUGGGAGGCGGUAGGGCACCUUGGUCACCUGGGAGGCGGUAGGGCACCUUGGUCACCUGGGAGGCGGUAGGGCACCUUGGUCACCUGGGAGGCGGUAGGGCACCUUGGUCACCUGGGAGGCGGUAGGGCACCUGGGAGGCGGUAGGGCACCUUGGUCACCUGGGAGGCGGUAGGGCACCUUGGUCACCUGGGAGGCGGUAGGGCACCUUGGUCACCUGGGAGGCGGUAGGGCACCUUGGUCACCUGGGAGGCGGUAGGGCACCUGGGAGGCGGUAGGGCACCGUGGUCACCUGGGAGGCCGUAUGUAAUUCCCUGAAAGGGCUGUUUUUAAACUUGAGUCAGUCAGCAUGACAACAUGACCUAGUCCUAGGCCCCUAAAGAAGUAGAAACUGACAGACCUGGCUGACAGGAUGUACCCCCCCCCUUUUUAUGUGUUCUGUAAAGGAGUAUUGUUUUCGUUAGCAGUUAGUUGAGCUAUACAAACUGCUUCGUGGGCUUUAAGAGUCUUGUCUGACAGCUGCAUUUCAAAAAAAUUAAAAGACUGGGCAUGAAGAAGCGCUGAUGUUUUGAGAUGUCUGUUGUUGUAAAGCUUUGGCAUCUAGGCUAGACUAUGAGAGUGGCGUUUACACUGGUUGCUAGUCUGAAAUGCCACCCUAUUCCCUAUAUAGUGCACUACUUUUGACCACAGACCAAUGGGGAGUAGAGCGCUAUAGGGGAUAGGUUGUCAUUUGGAAAGCAGCCUGGGUUGUACCAACAUGGUAACAUGAUGCCAUUUACCUUCAUAACACUUUCCAGUUUUAUACGAGCUUACGAGGUCCAAAACAAGACCAACCCUAGCCCAGGGAAGUGGCUGGACUAGUCACAGUGCUGUCCUCAGUCAGUGUUUGUUGGAAUACAUUUCUCAAUGCACUGUAGCCCUCGAGAAAGACAAAAGUCUGGCAUUUGACAUUGAUGUGGCUGACAAGACGGAAACAAAGAUUUCUCUUCACCAAAGUGUGAAUCAUCUGAAAAUACUAUUUUUAUCUCUUGUUUCUGAUACUUUCUGUGAAAUGGGAAGUUCAGAUACAGUUGCUUUCAUGUAUUAUAACCAUUCUUACAAACAAAAUGUCCUAUUUAAAUAAAUGUCAUUCAAAAGGAA